UAGGGAAUCUUCGGCAAUGGGGGGAACCCUGACCGAGCAACGCCGCGUGAGUGAAGAAGGUUUUCGGAUCGUAAAGCUCUGUUGUUAAGGAAGAACGAGUGUGAGAAUGGAAAGUUCAUACUGUGACGGUACUUAACCAGAAAGCCACGGCUAACUACGUGCCAGCAGCCGCGGUAAUACGUAGGUGGCAAGCGUUGUCCGGAUUUAUUGGGCGUAAAGCGAGCGCAGGCGGUCAAUUAAGUCUGAUGUGAAAGCCCCCGGCUCAACCGGGGAGGGUCAUUGGAAACUGGUUGACUUGAGUGCAGAAGAGGAGAGUGGAAUUCCAUGUGUAGCGGUGAAAUGCGUAGAUAUAUGGAGGAACACCAGUGGCGAAGGCGACUCUCUGGUCUGUAACUGACGCUGGGGUUCGAAAGCGUGGGUAGCAAACAGG
rnacentral:rRNA from 1 species